GUUGAGGUUUAUGCUGAUGGGGCUUUUUCUGUAGACCCACAUUGUUGGAAACACUUCAUGGAGUAACUAUGGGGUUUGCUUGACUUGCAGAACUAUUUGUUGGAUCGGUAAGAAAGAAUCACAAGACAGAA